AAUCAACGUGAUGCCAAAAUGUUUAUAUUCAAUCAGACGCGGUGGAAAAAAAGAGUUUCCCCUCCUGCUAACAAGUCAAGAUAAGUGACAAUUAUGUUUGAAAGUAAUUAAGGUAGUGUGGUCAUGAAGUAUAUCAUGUUUAAAAACACAAACUAAUAUUUUACAUAGCAACCGUAAUGUUACCAUAACCAGUGACGAGAAAAUGGCACAGCCACGAAUAAAAAUGUCCACCGGUUGAAUAAUGUUAGUUUUCUACCUACUUAAGAAUAACGUUCAUUUGUUUAAUGAUAUUUAUGUGAAGUGAAUUACAUUUAUAUAGCGCCUUUUCUCCAGCGACUCAAUUAAAGCGCUUUGCAUAGUCAGCAGGGGUGUCCAAACGUUUUCCACUGAGGGCCGCACACUGAAAUAUCAAAGUAAGCGGGGGCCAUUUUGAAAUUGUUUAUUUUAAAAACCAUUACAAAAUAUAUAUAAAAAAAUAUACAUUUAGGCCUCCACUCAGGCUUGAUCCUGGGGACCCCAAAGGGUUUAGGUAAAAAAAUAUUAAAAAUGUGUCAUUAUUUAGUGUUAUUAUUAUUAUUCAAGGUCUAAAUCUCCAGAUCAACAUUAGGUCUAUCUGUCAAUAUAAAGUGUUUUUUCAAGAUUUAAGUUGUAUGCUCUUUUUGUCAAAGAAAACCCAGUUUUUUAUGGAAAAAACCCAAAAUAUGCAAUAUUUUCCCCCAGUAACAUUUUAAAGUGGAAUAUUUGAGAUUAUAUAAUAAUUGGAGUUCAUAGCAUAACUCAUAACAACAUUAAUUCAUUAUUACUUUUGAGCAACUUAAAUAGACACUUAAAAAAAAGAAGUCCCACCAAAAUUAUUGGGGAUCCAAAAGGGUCCUGCUCAGUAAAGUAUUAAAAAAUAAAUCAUACUUUUUUUGUACUUUUAACACAAUAGUCUCAAGAUCAACUUCAGAUCUAUCCGUCAAUUAUAGCUUUUGUUGUUGUUUAUGUUUUUUGUUUGUUCGUUUUAGGCCCUUCUUUAAACAAAACAGCUUAGUUUUUUAUAUGGCAGACACAAAAUAUUUUCCCCCAAAAAUAUUCCAAAGUGGAAUAUUUAAUGUGACGUAAUUGGAGCUUUGAAUAGGUCAAUAAUUCAUAAUAACAUUGAUUUUGAUUCAUUAUUAUUUUUUAAAGAAAGAAACAGCCUGCAUGGCAGCUUUGUGUUAUUAGAGUAAACGUUGCAACAUGUUUUUGUUACAUUUCACCUGUUUGCUCUUUCAUGCCACUUUUUAUGUUUUUUAUUUUUUUAAUCGUAUUUUUAAAAUGUGCCGCCGGGCCGUUAAAAAAUUACCUGCGGGCCGCACUUUGGACACCCCUGUCAUAGUGGAUGGGCCAAUUUUAACAGUGAAUGAUAUUAUUACACUAUUGCCUAUGCAUUCAAUGAUUUUUUUUUUUUUAAUGUACAAUGUAAAAGAUUUUUUGUCGAUUUUACAGUCAAAAACUGACCGGUCAGUCGCAAAAAUUUUACCAUAAAAUUUACAGUGUUUACAGUGUUUUUUUCAGCAUGUAAAAGGAAACAAACAGUACCACUGUUUUUCACGGUCCAAAACUGGCAGCUCAGUUGAUACAAUUUCACUGUAAAGUUUACAGUGUUUUUUUAUACUGUAAAUAUAAAACUGCAUUUUUACAGUAACAUGCUGGCAACUUAGCUGCCGGAUUUUACCGUUAAAAACAACAACUGUAGAUUUUACAGUGUACUAUUGAGAAUGGCAAAACAGUACCACCGUUUUUUACAGUAAAAAACUGGCAGCUCAGUUGGCAGCAUUUUAUGAUCAAAAAAGAGCGGUACUGUUUUUUCAUGUACAGUAAAAUGCUGUAAAACCACCGUCAAUUUCAUAAAGUUGCUGUGAAAUUAUAUGUAUAAAGUUUGACAAUUUGAUGAAAAACUUGCUUUGAAAUCAUACGUCAAGCGGAUAAAAAGUAUUUAUUUCUAGUUGAACAAAAACAGUGUUUGAAUGUAUGAUCAUACACUUGUUACAUUAUAAUAUUUAUGUUUAAAAAAUAGGCGAUUGAAUUGAGUACAUGUAUUUUUUCUGUCAAAAUGGGAAAAAAACUAAUACAUUUAGUAAGAAAAUAAUAAAGUAUUUUAAUGACAAAUAUUAUUUCCAGGCUUUCGAGGGCCCAAAUAAAAUGAUGUGGCGGGCCUGAUCUGGCCCCCGGGCCUUGAGUUUGACACCCGUGAUCUACAUAUUUAAGCUACAUUUAAAUCAGUGUGGGAGGCGCUAGAAGCAGAAAGGUAAAGUGUCUUGCCCUAGCACACAGGCGGAAGGAGGAAUCGAACCUGGAAGUUGGAACCCUCAAAUCGCUGGCACGGUUGCUCUAUCAAUCGAGCCACGCCGACCCAUUUAUGGAGUUAAGAAGCACAGAAAGAAUUGUAGUAUGAGACUGACGGACUAUUUUAUUUUUAGCUGGUGCUGGCGACGAUUAUGGAUGAACUACUUGAUUGGAGGAGUCGGAAGGAUACAAGACAGCGUAGUCAAUAAUUUUGUAGAAGUUGAUUUCCUGAUGGUAUUGAACAAAGUGUCUUGGGACCCUUGUAAGGUUCCUGUUCCCCAAGUUUGAUGGCCCACUCAUCAAAGAACUCCUGAAGGAGUCCCACAGAGUACCUCUCACACUUGAUGUAAGUCCUGACCGUGUACAUGGCCUUGUGAAACUGCCUCUCGAUGUCCGUCAGUUCUUCAAACACUUUGCUGGCCGACCACAGCAGAACCUGCAGAUGCGUAACAGCGUGAUGCAUGACGUCGACCCACAAGUCUUCCUUCCACAGCGUCUCUUUCCCUAAAUGCUACGCCAUCAAAGGCAUACACACCUGUCAUUGGCCAGUGCAAAGUCCUCGUGGGCCUCGUUGAGUUGCUGCUGGAGUAUCGCCAGCUU